AUAUCUCUUUGAUGAAAAAUCGCAGUUUGUUUCCAUUCCUCCAUUCGUUGCGUGUACAUUCUUGCCACUCAAGAUGGCCGACAGGAAGCUCCGCCUACCCCGUUGAUUACAUCCGUGCAACAGCUCUAUGAUUAAGGCCUUGAAGGCUCAAUUAGAAGUGGAAACUGGAGUUGCUAUAGAGCAAAAUAACACAUACAAUAAGAAAAAAAGAAGGCCACUUUAUCGGCAUAAAUACUAACUUUAUGUACAUGUAGAUCUAUUGUUUAAGAUCAUUUUUAGUCAAUAUAACAUAGUCAUUAUUAGAUCUACGUGCAUUGACUGCAUUCAAUGCAUGCACUGACACUACAGACACCAUUGACACUACAAACACCACUGCAUGACACUUGCAAACACCACUGACACAUUGAUACUACAAACAC